rnacentral:lncRNA from 1 species
AGAUUGGGGGUGGUAGUAGUUUUCAAAUUUUUUGAAAAGUUAUUUGCACAAUAUUGCGUAAUAGAUUUGUAAGAUCUUGACAUUUUCUUUUGUAUCAAAAAUUCAUAUUAUGUGAAGAAUUUGAUUACAAUGUAAAUUCGGAACUGUAUCAAGCUUGAAUAUUGUGUCCAUACUUGCCCCAACUGUUCAGGGUUUGACCUCUGCCGUUGUAUAAAGCUGUGCCCUGGGGAGCAUCUGGUUGGAAUUAAUUUGUUUACAUUAUCAUGUGCGUUAAUAUAACUUUACAUACACACAAGAAAC